UACGUAGGGUCCGAGCGUUGUCCGGAAUUACUGGGCGUAAAGAGCUCGUAGGUGGUUUGUCGCGUUGUUCGUGAAAACUCACAGCUUAACUGUGGGCGUGCGGGCGAUACGGGCAGACUUGAGUACUGCAGGGGGAGACUGGAAUUCCUGGUGUAGCGGUGGAAUGCGCAGAUAUCAGGAGGAACACCGGUGGCGAAGGCGGGUCUCUGGGCCGAUACUGACGCUGAGGAGCGAAAGCGUGGGGAGCGAACAGG
rnacentral:rRNA from 1 species